GAUGAACGCUGGCGGCGCGCCUAACACAUGCAAGUCGAACGGCACCCCUCCUCGGAGGGAAGCGAGUGGCGAACGGCUGAGUAACACGUGGAGAACCUGCCCCCUCCCCCGGGAUAGCCGCCCGAAAGGACGGGUAAUACCGGAUACCCCGGGGUGCCGCAUGGCACCCCGGCUAAAGCCCCGACGGGAGGGGAUGGCUCCGCGGCCCAUCAGGUAGACGGCGGGGUGACGGCCCACCGUGCCGACAACGGGUAGCCGGGUUGAGAGACCGACCGGCCAGAUUGGGACUGAGACACGGCCCAGACUCCUACGGGAGGCAGCAGUGGGGAAUCUUGCGCAAUGGGGGGAACCCUGACGCAGCGACGCCGCGUGCGGGACGGAGGCCUUCGGGUCGUAAACCGCUUUCAGCAGGGAAGAGUCAAGACUGUACCUGCAGAAGAAGCCCCGGCUAACUACGUG
rnacentral:rRNA from 1 species